AGUGAACGCUGGCGGUAGGCCUAACACAUGCAAGUCGAACGGCAGCACAGUAAGAGCUUGCUCUUACGGGUGGCGAGUGGCGGACGGGUGAGGAAUACAUCGGAAUCUACUUUUUCGUGGGGGAUAACGUAGGGAAACUUACGCUAAUACCGCAUACGACCUACGGGUGAAAGCAGGGGAUCUUCGGACCUUGCGCGAUUGAAUGAGCCGAUGUCGGUUUAGCUAGUUGGCGGGGUAAAGGCCCACCAAGGCGACGAUCCGUAGCUGGUCUGAGAGGAUGAUCAGCCACACUGGAACAGGAACACGGUCCAUACUCCUACGAGAGGGAGCAGUGUGGAAUAUUGGACAAGAGGCGCAAGCCUGAUCCAGCCAUACCGCGUGGGUGAAGAAGGCCUUCGGGUUGUAAAGCCCUUUUGUUGGGAAAGAAAAGCAGCAGGUUAAUACCCCGCUGUUCUGACGGUACCCAAAGAAUAAGCACCGGCUAACUUCGUG
rnacentral:rRNA from 1 species